rnacentral:rRNA from 1 species
UGGGGAAUAUUGCACAAUGGGCGCAAGCCUGAUGCAGCCAUGCCGCGUGUAUGAAGAAGGCCUUCGGGUUGUAAAGUACUUUCAGCGGGGAGGAAGGGAGUAAAGUUAAUACCUUUGCUCAUUGACGUUACCCGCAGAAGAAGCACCGGCUAACUCCGUGCCAGCAGCCGCGGUAAUACGGAGGGUGCAAGCGUUAAUCGGAAUUACUGGGCGUAAAGCGCACGCAGGCGGUUUGUUAAGUCAGAUGUGAAAUCCCCGGGCUCAACCUGGGAACUGCAUUCGAAACUGGCAGGCUAGAGUCUUGUAGAGGGGGGUAGAAUUCCAGGUGUAGCGGUGAAAUGCGUAGAGAUCUGUAGGAAUACCGGUGGCGAAUGCGGCCCCCUGGACAAAGACUGACGCUCAGGUGCGAAAGCGUGGGGAGCAAACAGG